rnacentral:sRNA from 1 species
UAUUCUGCCCUACGGGGAAGGAUGAGAAGCUUCGACUAAGGUUCGACUCGAGCGUCAGCGAGAGAACGUUGCCGCAGGCAACGGCCCGAAGGGCGAGGCGCUUUAGCGCCGAGUAAUCCUUCCCCCGCUACUG